AUUGAACGCUGGCGGCAUGCCCUACACAUGCAAGUCGAACGGUAACAGCACUUCGGUGGCUGACGAGUGGCGAACGGGUGAGUAAUACAUCGGAACGUGCCCGAGAGUGGGGGAUAACGCAGCGAAAGCUGUGCUAAUACCGCAUACGAUCUACGGAUGAAAGCAGGGGACCGCAAGGCCUUGCGCUCAUGGAGCGGCCGAUGGCAGAUUAGGUAGUUGGUGGGAUAAAAGCUUACCAAGCCGACGAUCUGUAGCUGGUCUGAGAGGACGACCAGCCACACUGGGACUGAGACACGGCCCAGACUCCUACGGGAGGCAGCAGUGGGGAAUUUUGGACAAUGGGCGAAAGCCUGAUCCAGCCAUGCCGCGUGCAGGAUGAAGGCCUUCGGUGUAACUGCUUUGUACGGAACGAAAGGUACUUUUCUAAUAAAGAAGGCUCAUGACGGUACCGUAAGAAUAAGCACCGGCUAACUACGUGCCAGCACG
rnacentral:rRNA from 1 species